rnacentral:rRNA from 1 species
AGCAGCCGCGGUAAUUCCAGCCCCAAUAGCGUAUAUUAAAGUUGUUGCAGUUAAAAAGCUCGUAGUUGAAUUUCGGGGUCAGUAGGUUGGUCGUGCCACUGGUAUGCACUGGCCUCACUGAUUCCUCCCUCUUGUAGAACCGUAAUGCCAUUAAGUUGGUGUUGCGGGGAAACAGGACUGUUACUUUGAAAAAUUAGAGUGUUUAAAGCAGGCUAACGCUUGAAUACAUUAGCAUGGAAUAAUGAAAUAGGACGAUCGAUCCUAUUUUGUUGGUUUCUAGGAUUGACGUAAUGAUUAAUAGGGAUAGUUGGGGGCAUUAGUAUUCAAUUGUCAGAGGUGAAAUUCUUGGAUUUAUUGAAGACUAACUACUGCGAAAGCAUUUGCCAAGGAUGUUUUCAUUAAUCAAGAACGAAAGUUAGGGGAUCGAAGACGAUCAGAUACCGUCGUAGU